rnacentral:lncRNA from 1 species
AGAUGACGCCGCUUUCCAUUAGGUUGGAAAACUUGAAUGGUGGGGCGGGGCGGGCCCUUCCACGGGCUGCCCGCUCCUGCCGAGGGGUCGGCCGGAUGGUGGAGGACGGGGAUGGACUGGCUGGUCCCAGACCCCGUGAAAAAAUUUUCAAGAGGACUCGAGACCCAAACUUCGGUCUUCCAGAGUGGAAAACUGAAGGGUUUCCACGCGGCAAUCCAGCCAUCUACUAUCAUUUAGAAUAUUGAUACUUGAUAUUUUAUUCAAAUCUAAUAGCGAUGCAAACCAACAAUUUAAACUUCAG